UUUCUGAGAGGCGGCGUUGAUCUGAAUGCUGAAACUGGUCGCUUUGCCCGCUAUUCAAACGGGGCAGGUAUUCAGGGAGCCAAUAGCGAAACCGGCCUGGUGCCGG
rnacentral:ncRNA from 13 species